rnacentral:lncRNA from 1 species
ACCCAAUCAACAAAUGGGCCAAGGACCUGAACAGACACUUCUCAGAGGAGGACAUACAAUCAAUCAACAAGUACAUGAAAAAAUGCUCACCAUCUCUAGCAGUCAGAGAAAUGCAAAUCAAAACCACCCUAAGAUACCAUCUCACUCCAGUAAGAUUGGCAGCCAUUAUGAAGUCAAACAACAACAAGUGCUGGAGAGGAUGUGGGGAAAAGGGUACUCUUGUACAUUGCUGGUGGGACUGCAAACUGGUGCGGCCAAUCUGGAAAGCAGUAUGGAGAUUCCUGGGAAAGCUGGGAAUGGAACCACCAUUUGACCCAGCUAUUGCCCUUCUUGGACUAUUCCCUGAAGACCUUAAAAGAGCGUACUACAGGGAUACUGCUACAUCGAUGUUCAUAGCAGCACAAUUCACAAUUGCUAGACUGUGGAACCAACCCAGAUGCCCUUCAACAGAUGAAUGGAUAAAAAAAAUGUGGCAUUUAUACACCAUGGAGUAUUACGCAGCACUAAAAAAUGACAAAAUCAUAGAAUUUGCAGGGAAAUGGAUGGCACUAGA